UCGUCAAUCUGCUGCGGGCUGAUGAAGUGAAUAUGCGAGUCAAUACCGCCCGCCGUCACGAUCAUCCCUUCACCGGCAAUCACCUCGGUCGCGGCGCCAAUCGCAAUGGUCACGCCCGGCUGGAUAUCCGGAUUGCCCGCCUUGCCGAUCGCAAACACACGUCCGUUCUUGAUGCCGAUAUCCGCCUUCACGAUGCCCCAGUGAUCGAGGAUCAGCGCGUUCGUCACGACCGUGUCCACCACGUCGGCAUGCACGCGCUGCGACUGGCCCAUGCCGUCGCGA
rnacentral:sRNA from 1 species